rnacentral:rRNA from 1 species
GCUUAGAAGUAAACCAAGGCAGACCCAACUGCCCGCCAGAGAACUACAAGCGAAAAGCUUAAAACUCAAAGGACUUGACGGCAUUCCACAUCACACUAGAGGAGCCUGUCCUAUAAUCGAUAACCCACGUUUAACCUCACCUGUUCUCGCACCACCAGCCUAUAUACCGCCGUCCAGCCCGCCUUACAAAAGUACCAACAGCGAGCAAAACAGUCCACACUAACACGUCAGGUCAAGGUGUAGCUAACGCACAGGCAGAGAUGGGCUACAUUUUCUCAAAAGAAAACCACCACCCGCACCAUGAAACAAGUGCACAAAGGAGGAUUUAGCAGUAAGCCACGCAAGCCUGCGUGACUGAACCGUGCCCUGGAAUGUGU